GUUGGUUGUAGCAAAAUACAAACUGGUUGCAGCACUACCGUCGGGCCGUGGUCACCACCAUCAGGCCGUGGUCACCACCGCCGUGGUAUGGCCCCACUGGUUGUAGCAAAUCCCGUCGCCGGUGGUAGCUUUCCCGGUGCCGGCUGCAGCAAAAUCGCAGCACCGACGUCGCCGCCACAAAUCACCGUCGCCUCCCUUGUAACAAAUCCGGCCAUCGGUUGUAGCAUGGCCGGUUACUGGUUGUAGCACGCCGUGCAGCCGCGGAGCUGCGAGUACGCCCUGACCGUGGCCGGAGAUGGACGAGAAGGGAAGUGGUGGACAACCAUCGUCAGUCUGCGUCCGUCAUCGCUGACUUGGUUCCCCGCAGCAGUUCCUGGGGUGCGCGUGGGCCUGGGCAGCAGCAAUUUCAUGGGGCGGUGGCCAUGACCCGCGUGAGCCAGCCGGAGAUGCGAG
rnacentral:rRNA from 1 species